rnacentral:sRNA from 1 species
GCCAAGCAUAUUCAAACUAUCACAAUAAAUUAUGAUCAGAUCACGGGACUAUUUACUGGUUUUAAGAAAUAAUUCAUAAAAGAUAUAAAAAGUACAUUAUCUGGGAAGUGAAAUGAGUACAUUUAAUCAACUCUAUUGUAUUAUUCCCAUGCCUAAGUCCUCUGUAAUAAGAACGAUCAAUCGUGCUAGUCAUUUUUUCUUUAUCUGGUGCUGUUUCUUGACACCUAAGAGUCCUGACUUUGGCCUGUCAGUGUAACGUAGCAUAUCUUCUGCUCUCAGAUACAGUCAUGGUGAUGGCUAGUCUAGCAACAUUUCUGAUUAUCUAUAUAAAUGUGAAAAAAAGUAGAAAUGUGAAAAUAGUGAUAACAUUGAGGUGAUAUAAAUUGUUUAUAUUAACUUCUAACUCUCCAUUGAGAAACACACAGCUCAAGUGCCUUGCCUUUCACACUCAACAUUUCUUGCUUCUUGUUUCUAAUAUAUUGUAGUGGAAAGAACAGUGAGACAUCAGAGAUGAGGUCCCAAAAGUCACCAUAGUUUCUAACCCUUAGACUAUCUGAGCUGAGGGUAGUGAGGAAAUGAAGCCUCUAGACAACAGUCAUGGCUUGACAUCUAGGAAGUAGAUCCUUCAGCUGCAGUCUUGAUGACUGUCCCAUGUCUGCAAUCUGGAUGUCACCAUCUUUAAUCUCAGCAGGAGAAACCUAGAGCCAGCCCAACUUUCAGACAAGACGAAUCCACAGAAAUCAGGAAAUGGUUUUUGCUCUUUCAAGCUAUGAGGUUUGGGUGAUGGCUUUUGAAGAUCAAAUGACAGCAUACUCUCUUCCCAGGAGUAUGAUGAAAACUUGAUUGUUGACAUGUAUGGGACUUGGCUGUUGUUUUUGCUACAGGAUUCAACAUGAUGGAACUGAAAACUUCAUUGCUUUAAACAAUAAACAAACCAGUAUUGUCAAGUUUUCCAGGCUGCUCUAAACCUUACAAAGUUCAAGCGAACCUCCUGACUUAGCCUCCAGAGUUUUUGUGAGCACUGACAACUCAAAAACAGCAUGACACCUGGUAUGUCAACAACCACGGGGAAAAGGGACCAACUGAAGAGUAAGAAAACUUCUGUGCUACUCAUGGUGCUGUCAGGAAAGUAAAAAGACAACCUACAGAAUGUGAAAAAUAUUUACAUAUCAUGUAUCUGGUAAGAUUAUAGUAUUUGUAAUAUAUAAUGACUUAUAACACAACAAUGCAAGACUACUAAAUAAAAUUGGUCAUUUAUACAUUUGCAAAUAAUAUAUUAAAAUGACCAAUAAAUAUGAAAGGGGGCUCAAGUCAUUAGUUGCUUGAAAAACACCAAUUCAAAUUAUAAUGAUUUCACAAUUCCAAUCAGCUUAUCUGAUGAUUUGAUUGAGAAUGGGCCUCUUAGGGUAAAAUUGUCAAAUAUUUAGCUCCAGUUGGUGGGCCUGUUAAGGGAAGGAUGAGAAGGCAUGGCCUACGUGGAGGUAUGGCACUGGGACCUGGCUUUGAGGCUUCAAACUCCCUGGGCCAUCCCAGUGUUCUCUCCGUGCUUUCUGUCUCCCUUCUAGGGACCAAGAUGUAAGCUUUCAACUGUUCCUGUUACUAUGGCUUUGCUUUGCCUUCAUAAAUAUUAACCAUCUAAAACUUUAAUCUUAAUUAAAUGUUUUUUUUUUAUAAAUUGCCCUGGUCUUGGUGUUUUAUCACAACAAUUGAAAAGAAAUUAAGGAAGCUAUGGUGGUGAUGUUAAAAAACUUGUGCCAUGAGUUGAAGAGGGUACAGAGAAAACAGAACCUAUUUACUGCUGAAAGCAAUUGACAGCCACUCAGAAUACUAUCACAAAACUUAAAUGUAGGGUAAGAAUAAUAGCAAGCAGUUUCAUUCCUAGGAAUAUGCACAAUUAAUUUUAAUGUAUGCACAAAAUCUUCCACGAGUAUUCAUGACAGUGUCAUUUACAGCAGGCUAUCAUGUCAAUACAACCUAAAUGCCCAGCAGCUAAGAAAUAAACAAUGAAAAUGUGAUUGAGUCAUAUAAGAGAUAUUAUCUAGUUGUAAAAAAUAAAGUACCAAUGACAUUCCAUUACAUGAGUAAAUAUAAAAAGUGGUUUUUAGCAUUUCUGUUACAUGAAAUUCAUAUGCAUUUAUAUGACAUAUCCAGAAUAGACAAUAGAUUAACAGUUGCCUAGGAGACAGGGAAGUGUGAAAUGACUCUAUGGAUUCAUGAUUUCUUUUUUGGAACUCUGACAAUAUUCUAGAAUUAGUGGUAACAUUCCUUCAUGUUGCCAAGACAAGAAACCCCCAUUGAAUUACAUCCUUUGAAAGGAUGAAUUUUAUAGAAUGAGACAUCUCAAUUUUUUAAAAAUAAAAUCUAGAGAGAAUCCCAGAAUUCUGGUUUUCUCAAAACUCCUAGGUCAUGUUGAGUCUUUGAUCCACAAAUAGACCUAGGACAGCAAAGAUUUGGAGAAUUCAUUCCAAGGUCCAGUUCAGAACACAGCGCUCAUCCGCAGGUAUAUACUGCUGAAAGGAGGAUCCCUUUUCUAUCUUCAGUGUGAAAGGGGUCACUCCAAGCAGUAGAUUUUGAGCGAUUGACUAAUACAUAUAUCUCAAAAUGGGGCACAGCCCUUGCUCCAUCCAUGAAAUUUGAUGCUAUAUAUCAGAACUAUUGUUCUUGAGGCUCCGCCAUAGUUACAGAAUUGGAAGCAACUUUAGAAAUUUUGCAUCUAGGAAACCAUAUGCCAGGUGUGUUUGUUAGGAGUUUUAGGGAAUGGCAUUUGUGGUGGUUUGAAUGAGAAUGGCCCACAUAGGCUCUUAUCUUUCAAAGUUUGGGCAGCAGUUGGCGGGAUGUUUAGAAAUGAUUAGGCAGUGUGGCUUUGUUGGAGGAGGUAAACCACUGGGUGUUUUGUGGCUUUAGAAGCCCACAUGAAUCCAUCUUAGGUUUCUCUGCCUCGCGGCUGUGCGUCAAGGUAUGACCUCUCAGCUUCAGCUUUGGUGCUAUGUCUACCCUUCUGCUGCCAUCCUCCCCACCAUGAUGGCCAUGGUCUCACCCUCUGAAACAGUAAGCCCCAAAUAAACUUCUUUUCUAAAGGCACCUUGGGCAUGGUAUUUAUGACAGCCAUAUAAAAGUAAGUAAGACAUGGCUGCCACAGAAACAAGUUUUUUGAUUUUUUGUGAGUAUGUUGUAUUGCUUGUGUGUGUUUCAUGUACUUGUUAAUAUGGGUGUGCACAUGUAUCUGUUAACAUCUGUGAUUAGGUGGAAGCCAGAGGCUGGCAUCAUCUGUCUUUCCUUGACAAUUCUCUAUUUUUAAAUUUUAAUUAAACUUAAUUAUUUUUUCAUUAGGAAUGGUCUUUUACUAAACUUGAGGUUCAUUGAUUCUUCCAGGCUUGCUAGCUAGCAGGCCAGCAAUGAGAUUGUGGGAUCCAUAUGUUUCACUCAACCAUGAAUGGAAAUACAGUUUUCACCACCAUACCUGGCUUUGUCUUAGUACAUGUUUUGGUAGUCUAAAUUCAGGUCCUUCUGUUGGGAGUGAGGAAUGUUUUAUUGACUGCGCCAUCUCCUCAGCCUCCUUUCUAAAGACUGCAUUCAAAUGAAAUUUUACCGAGCACUAGAUACCGAAGUUGUGGAUUAAUCGUUAUUCUAUACGGAAUUGUAGGACACCACAGAGCUUUUCUAUGGCAGAAAACUAUUCAUCCUGUGCUAGAUGGAAAGAGGCUAUAAUAAUGAACUCUCUAGGCUGGGUUAUACCGAGGAACUUGAAAGAUUCUCUCACAGGAACAAAAGCGAUUUGAGACGCAGCAGGAGACAACAUACAGUCAGUCUCUCCCCCACUUCCAGCAGAGCCUAGAGAGUUUCAGCAUCUCUGUCACACAAGCUCAGAGCCCUGGAGGAUGAUAACGGAAGGAUAAUGGAACAGAAGGAAGAAGGGCUGAACAGAUUGGCAAAGAACCUUUAAGGGAAGGGUUCAUUCAUAAGUUGCCUUUGUUAAAUGGUUAGAAAGACAAAACAAGCUGGUCUACUUGGAAAACUUGACCCAGUGUGCUUUCCAACUUGGUCUAUAUAAGAACCACUCAGUAAGGUUUGAAAGUUGCAUAUCAAGCCGAUUACAUUGACUCUCUGGAAGAAGAACCCAAAUGUUAGUAUUUGUUAGAACAGCGGAGAGGAUAGCAGCAUGCAGCCCAGACUGAAAGUGAAACAAAACACGAUUUUAAGAUACAGGAUUGGACACACAGUUCACUUCCAUGCAGCGUAGCCUUAGUAACAACAACAAUAAUAGAGGGUAUUGAGUUUAACCUAACCGGGAACAAAAGAAGCAAAGAAAGGUGGGGAAAGUUCCAAAAUGAGAUUGAGAUUGUCUUGUGAAUAGAAUAUCUUGGAAAGACACAUCAAAGGGUGAGCAAGUUACCAGCUGGCUGUUUUGAGUAAAAAUUAAAGCAAUCUCAGAAUUUUCUUUAACAGACACA